ensembl:snRNA U6 U6 spliceosomal RNA
GUGCUUGCUUCAGUAGCACAUACGCUAAAAUUGGAACGAUAAAGAGAAGAUUAGCAUGGCUCUUUCACAAGGAUGACACACAAAUUUUUGAAGUGUUCCAUAUUUUU